rnacentral:lncRNA from 1 species
CCUACAGUGCCAUCCCCAGGCCCACCUCAAAUGAGCAAAUCUGCUGCCUUUGCUUUACAUCUUUUGGGAGCACUUUUCCUCAUGUGUUCCUUUUCCCCCCAUAUACAGGAGAGAGGUGGUCUGCUUGUUUUCUGUUUAAGGCUCAGGAAAAAGAGUGAGGAAAGGAACAUGACAUUCAUUUAUCCUGGCUCUUCAUGUGCAUGGCCUGUCCAGGCACAGCUGGUUGGGAAAAUGGGCCAGGAAGUGUUUCAAGAGCAGACAUUUCUGGAACACUGAAUGGACAAACCAACCUACCCCCUGAUGCAAUAGAGGCAGAAAAUUAAAUCUGAAGAGGUAAGAGAAAAACAAGGCUAUGUUCUAAAU